GACGUAGGAGGCGAGCGUUGUCCGGAUUCAUUGGGCGUAAAGAGCUCGUAGGCGGUCUGUCGCGUCGGAUGUGAAAACUCGGGGCUCAACCCCGAGCCUGCAUUCGAUACGGGCAGACUAGAGUUCGGUAGGGGAGACUGGAAUUCCUGGUGUAGCGGUGAAAUGCGCAGAUAUCAGGAGGAACACCGGUGGCGAAGGCGGGUCUCUGGGCAUCUCCUGACGCUGAGGCGCGAAAGCGUGGGGAGCAAACGGG
rnacentral:rRNA from 1 species